CCGUUCCCUCUCUUGUCCUGGGGCAGCAGGGUAGCCUAGUGGUUUAGAGCGUUGGGCCGGUAACCAUAGGUUUGUUAUCACGGUGGGAGGCGUUCCUCUCUUGUCCUGGGGCAGCAGGGUAGCCUAGUGGUUAGAGCGUUGGGCCGGUAACCGAUAGGUUGUUAUCACGGUGGGAGGCCAUUCCCUCUCUUGUCCUGGGGCAGCAGGGUAGCCUAGUGGUUAGAGGGUUGGGCCGGUAACGAUAGUUUGUUAUCACGGUGGGAGGCCGUUCCC
rnacentral:lncRNA from 1 species